GCACGAGCACAUCAAGCCGUCGUCGAUCCUUGCGCUACUACGGGAGCCGCCGCCGAUCCCAUUGAGAAGCCGCCGCCGAUGACGGGAGACGCCGCCGAUCCCGUUGAGGAGCCGCCGCCGAUGACGGGAGACGCCGCACGCUGACCUACCCCCUCCCCUAUCCCUAGCCUCGCACCUCUUCCCGUCUGGCGCCUCCUACCUCGGCUGGGCGGUGGCCUCAAGUGCCUCUUCUUCCCCAAUGCGGCCUCAACCAACGAUGCUGCACCCCGGUGACGACUCCGCCCCACGAUUCCCAUCGGUCGGCGCCUCGCCAGCAGCGACCUCCCCCUCCAUGUAUCUUGUGAUCCGGUCGUGAGCCACCGCCUCUCCAGGCGCCUAGAUCCCGGCUUCCAGAAGGGGAUAGGGGUGGAGGCGGCAGCGGAGGGGACAGGGAUGUGACCGGAGGAACUACAUGGAGCUGCAGAACUAAUCUUGAAGGUGAUAGCCUUGUUUCUUCCCUGUUUUAGAUCAACCGUUCUUCUUUCUUCCUUGGAGCUCCACUGUUUUGGAUGAACUGGACUAACCCUAGAAGGGAUGAAGGUCAUCCACGAGGUGUCUCAAGGUGAACCCCGUGGUACCCGACCAAGUGGCUGGAGGGAAUGGUGUAUGCUCACAAGUUUGUACAGACCAAUUUGUUUCACUCGGACAAGAAUCCCACGAACCUUAAUGUGGCCUUUAAGUUUCAGGUCCUUGGGGUUGGAUGCGGCAACUCGCGGCUCGAAGACAAUCUUUUGUGGUGGGGCGUCGCCGCCGGCGGCAGCACCUGCAUAGACUGUCUCGCUGGGAACGAAGAGAUGCUCCCCUGAUUUGGAGCUGUAGAAAGGAGGUGGUUGUAGACACAAAGUGGGGACACACAACUCCCAGUCAUAAUAUUCUUUAUCUUGGCUUGUUGUUUGGGGAUGGACGCAUCAAACUGAUGGCGCUCUCCUCCAUGCCAAACGGAUCCUUGGUUCGGAGGCGCGCGGCGCCGACGAUGACAACCUUUCUGUCAACGCAAGGGCAGCAGGAGCUCAUGAUGCUGUUGAUGCCACCACCAUGAAUGGGGUUGAUGCAAGGUGGGACAAUGCGAUCACUAAUGGGGAGAACAUAAAACUUCAGUUGGGGGCACUGUGAUUCUCUAGCUACAUGUAUCAUGUCCAAAAGAGAUCCUUAUUUCACCUUUGUUUAUAGGUAUUCAACGUGAGGAAUUUUAUACUUUUGGAGUGGAGCUAUCAAAUAUAUAUUAUGAGUUUCUAAAACAUCUAUUAUAAGGAGUUGAAGAGAGCUUCCUCUGCCCCAGCAAAUUCUGAGAAAACCAACCAGCAGAGAACAUGAACAAAUAUAGUGAUGAGAAAGGGUGGAGCUGAGUACACCACACAUGGAUAUGAUGGUCUCCCCUAUGUUCUUUUUGGCAAUCCACUUAAUCACUGACUCAACUGUGUAUGGGGCGCUUCCGAGCACAGAUGGUGGCGGUGAAGCAGCAUGCCCGAGAGAGCGUGCAGGGGAGGAAGGAGUUCCUGGUGGAGGUGCUGAUACUGGCGGUGCUCAGCCACCCUAACUUCGUCAGCCUGAUCGGCUUCUGCGCGCAGGGGACAAGCGGCUGCUGUUGUACGAGUACAUGCCCUUCGGCAGCCUGGAGAGUCAUCUCUUUGCUGUUCCAUUAUAUAUAUUCACUUUGGAAGGCAAAAAUUAUAUGUUGGCUGGUUGCCCGAGAAAUUAAAAAGGCUAAAUCUUGAGUUGUAUGGAGCAUGGUCAUUUGCUUGAAGUUUCCAAUGGACUGUAUAUACCAUUGAAUGAGAGGAAUUAUUCCAUAAGUGUGGACAAAUUGAGCUGAUCGAUUGAUUGAGAAAAUCUGGAUGUUCUCAGAUCUCCUUGCUCCACUACUCCUUGGAUUAUUACCUUUGUUCAUAUAUUUUGGUUUAUCUGAGCUGAAGGGAUAAAAGUCAAUGGAUGCGGAUGAUGCUACUGUGGAUCGACAAAGUCACUGACGUAAUUAUGAUCGACCACACUGAAAACUCAUCAAAAUUUACAAAAUCAGAAGAGAUGUAUACAAAUUAUGGUUCUUCUUUGUAUAUAAACUACACACAAUAAUGUUGGAAAUAUGCCCUAGAGGCAAUAAUAAAAGUAUUAUUAUA